UACGGGAGGCAGCAGGGGGGAAUAUUGCACAAUGGGCGCAAGCCUGAUGCAGCCAUGCCGCGUGUAUGAAGAAGGCCUUCGGGUUGUAAAGUACUUUCAGUCGUGAGGAAGGUGUUAAGGUUAAUAACCUUAGCAAUUGACGUUAGCGACAGAAGAAGCACCGGCUAACUCCGUGCCAGCAGCCGCGGUAAUACGGAGGGUGCGAGCGUUAAUCGGAAUUACUGGGCGUAAAGGGCACGCAGGCGGUUAAUUAAGUUGGAUGUGAAAUCCCCGGGCUUAACCUGGGAAUGGCAUUCAAGACUGGUUAGCUAGAGUCUUGUAGAGGGGGUAGAAUUCCAUGUGUAGCGGUGAAAUGCGUAGAGAUGUGGAGGAAUACCGGUGGCGAAGGCGGCCCCUGGACAAAGACUGACGCUCAUGUGCGAAAGCGUGGGGAGCAAACAGGGAUUAGAUACC
rnacentral:rRNA from 1 species